UACAUUGUCUUUUCUGUUCUCAUUGAUGC
rnacentral:piRNA from 1 species